GAUGAACGCUGGCGGCGUGCCUAACACAUGCAAGUCGAGCGAACAGACGAGGAGCUUGCUCCUCUGACGUUAGCGGCGGACGGGUGAGUAACACGUGGAUAACCUACCUAUAAGACUGGGAUAACUUCGGGAAACCGGAGCUAAUACCGGAUAAUAUAUUGAACCGCAUGGUUCAAUAGUGAAAGACGGUUUUGCUGUCACUUAUAGAUGGAUCCGCGCCGCAUUAGCUAGUUGGUAAGGUAACGGCUUACCAAGGCAACGAUGCGUAGCCGACCUGAGAGGGUGAUCGGCCACACUGGAACGGAGACACGGUCAAGACUACUACGGGAGGCAGCAGUAGGGAAUCUUCCGCAAUGGGCGAAAGCUUGACGGAGCAACGCCGCGUGAGUGAUGAAGGUCUUCGGAUCGUAAAACUCUGUUAUUAGGGAAGAACAAAUGUGUAAGUAACUAUGCACGUCUUGACGGUACCUAAUCAGAAAGCCACGGCUAACUACGUG
rnacentral:rRNA from 1 species